rnacentral:tRNA from 1 species
GGAGAGGUGGCUGAGUGGUUGAAAGUACCGCACUCGAAAUGCGGCGUGCCUUUACGGGCAUCGUGGGUUCGAAUCCCACCCUCUCCGCCA